rnacentral:rRNA from 1 species
GAUGAACGCUGGCGGCGUGCCUAAUACAUGCAAGUCGAGCGAACAAACGAGGAGCUUGUUCCUCUGAGGUUAGCGGCGGACGGGUGAGUAACACGUGGAUAACCUACCUAUAAGACUGGGAUAACUUCGGGAAACGGAAGCUAAUACCGGAUAAAAUAUUGAACCGCAUGGUUCAAUAGUGAAAGACGGUUUUGCUGUCACUAAUAGAUGGAUCCGCGCCGCAUUAGCUAGUUGGUAAGGUAACGGCUUACCAAGGCGACGAUGCGUAGCCGACCUGAGAGGGUGAUCGGCCACACUGGAACUGAGACACGGUCCAGACUCCUACGGGAGGCAGCAGUAGGGAAUCUUCCGCAAUGGGCGAAAGCCUGACGGAGCAACGCCGCGUGAGUGAUGAAGGUCUUCGGAUCGUAAAACUCUGUUAUUAGGGAAGAACAAAUGUGUAAGUAACUAUGCACGUCUUGACGGUACCUAAUCAGAAAGCCACGGCUAACUACGUG